rnacentral:rRNA from 1 species
GACGAACGCUGGCGGCGUGCUUAACACAUGCAAGUCGAACGGAAAGGCCCUGCUUUUGUGGGGUGCUCGAGUGGCGAACGGGUGAGUAACACGUGAGUAACCUGCCCUUGACUUUGGGAUAACUUCAGGAAACUGGGGCUAAUACCGGAUAGGAGCUCCUGCUGCAUGGUGGGGGUUGGAAAGUUUCGGCGGUUGGGGAUGGACUCGCGGCUUAUCAGCUUGUUGGUGGGGUAGUGGCUUACCAAGGCUUUGACGGGUAGCCGGCCUGAGAGGGUGACCGGCCACAUUGGGACUGAGAUACGGCCCAGACUCCGACGGGAGGCAGCAGUGGGGAAUAUUGCACAAUGGGCGGAAGCCUGAUGCAGCAACGCCGCGUGCGGGAUGACGGCCUUCGGGUUGUAACCCGUUUUCGCCUGUGACGAAGCGUGAGUGACGGUAAUGGGUAAAGAAGCACCGGCUAACUACGUG